UCCAGAGGGGGCAAGCGUUGUUCGGAAUUACUGGGCGUAAAGCGCACGUAGGCGGCUUUCUAAGUCAGGGGUGAAAUCCUGGAGCUCAACUCCAGAACUGCCUUUGAUACUGGAGAGCUUGAGUCCGGAAGAGGUGAGUGGAACUCCGAGUGUAGAGGUGAAAUUCGUAGAUAUUCGGAAGAACACCAGUGGCGAAGGCGGCUCACUGGUCCGGUACUGACGCUGAGGUGCGAAAGCGUGGGGAGCAAACAGG
rnacentral:rRNA from 1 species